rnacentral:rRNA from 1 species
ACGCGCGGAACCUUACCAGGUCUUGACAUCCCGCUGACCGGUAUAGAGAUAUACCUUUCCCUUCGGGGACAGCGGUGACAGGUGGUGCAUGGUUGUCGUCAGCUCGUGUCGUGAGAUGUUGGGUUAAGUCCCGCAACGAGCGCAACCCUUGAUCUUAGUUGCCAGCAUUCAGUUGGGCACUCUAAGGUGACUGCCGGUGACAAACCGGAGGAAGGUGGGGAUGACGUCAAAUCAUCAUGCCCCUUAUGACCUGGGCUACACACGUGCUACAAUGGAUGGUACAAAGGGCUGCAAGACUGCGAAGUCAAGCCAAUCCCAUAAAACCAUUCUCAGUUCGGAUUGCAGGCUGCAACUCGCCUGCAUGAAGCCGGAAUCGCUAGUAAUCGCGGAUCAGCAUGCCGCGGUGAAUACGUUCCCGGGCCUUGCACACACCGCCCGU